UUUUUUUUUUUUUUUUGACACAAGAGGUAGUAAUUGUCAUGACCUCUGGGAGAGGACCAAUCUGUUCACCUAGGAUUUAAGUGUCCUUUCUCACUCUCAGAAGCAAAAAGCAGCCAAAGAAGGUCUAUACUACAGCUCUACCAAAGGAUUCCUAAAAAUUGGUCAGUAUAAUGUCUACUCUAUCACCAUGGUGAGCAUGGUAGCCUGAAUCCAGCUUUUCUGUAGACUGCAGCAGAGGUAGUUGAAUGACCACGGCCAUUCAGAAGGACCUGAUAGUGCAGUAACCAGAAAGCCCAAAGGUCAGGGUAAAUCAUCAUUUGCUUCAUUUCUCCCCAUAAAACACUGAACAAACCUCUGGUCAUGUGUCAGAGAGUCCUUAUUUGCAGUCAUAUGAUGAUACCAUUUUCUAUUGCAAAUUGCAAAUUCAAUUCUCAAGUUCAAUUAUCCUGGAGACAGCCAACCAAUAAGCUCAGCAGUGUUUGAAAAGAAGAACAAGUAGUACAGGUUUUUAAACACAUACAUAAAUACAAAACUGUUAACUAUAAACCCCAGCAAAAUUGAAAAUGGGCAGUGUGUAGCCCUGGACUGGGGUAGGAAAUAAGGAAAGAAGUUUUGGUGGUUAGACAUAAGACAGAAUCUGGAUUUAUGUGUUUUCUGGAACAGGAAUCCAAAAUUAUCCUUCAUGAGGGACACUUUUUUUUUUUUUUUUUUUCUUAAUGGCCAGUGAAGCCUUGGGAAACUGGAUAAUCCAACCUCUCCUAGAGAUUCAUAAAAGCUUUUAGCAUCUCUAAGAUUCAAAAAAUCCUUCAAGAAAUCUUUGUUUACUUUAUUUGGCAUUUCCCAUAUUUGUUUAAUCAUAAAGCAUUUUUUCUUAAGAAGCUGUUUUGGCAGUUGUCAGAGCUUGUUUAUCACACAGCUCACUUUGGGAAACAAUGACGUAAAUAGAUUUCAAGUUAUGGAGGACAUCCCAUUAAAGAUAAGACUCACAUUUCAAGAUAUUUUCUUCCCAUGAAAAGCUACAGACAUUUACAAGACAUGUUUGAGGCAGGCCUAUUUAGGACUUUGCUAUUCAACGUGUGGUUCUUGGAACAGCAACAUUGGCAUCACCACUGAGCCUGUUAGAAACGCUGAAUUCUGGUCCUGCCCCAGAGAUAUGGAGUCAGAAUCUUGCAUCAUCUGUAAGAUCCCUCAGGUGAUUCUUUCGCAUAAAAAGUGUAAGGAAGACUAUUUUAGGAGACUCAUACUCUCUAGAGCAUAUGCAUUUCAUGCCUUUCUGCAUGCAAACUGGACAAUACAAACUAGAAUUAUAUAUAAUUAUAUAAUUAAGGUUAAUGACAUUUGUCUUUUAAAAUUUGAACACUGAAACAAUUUUUAUAGGAGAAUAACAAUUAUAUUAAAAUAUAAUGUAAACCACGAGAAGGUGAUCAGUUUGAAUGAACAUUUAUGAACAUUAGAUCUGGAUCAAAAUAACUGGAUCAGCAUAUAUCAUGAAAUCAGGAGAAUGGCAUAACACACAGACAAAAUCAGGCAAAAGCUACAGCUCCCACCUGAUUAGGACUUACCACAAUUUCCUUGUGAGAAGGAAAAAGCAUUUGGCCACACACAUGCACUCUGGUUAUAUUGACAAAUUAUAUGCACAAUCCUCAUUUCAUUCACACUUUUCUAAAAGAAGCAUGUGUCAGGUUUAGAAAUAUUCUCAUUAUUUAAAAAUAUCUAUCUUAACAUUUAUUUAUUUGCACACUUACUGCUUUAUUAAUUCAUUUCAGGAGUAUUUUCAUUGGAUUUAGCACCAUCCUCAGAUCAGUAAGACAUAAACUUUCCCAUGAGAGGCUCAUAAUCUUGUUUAUUAGAUGGAUUAGAAUUAAUCCACCAUGUUUGAACGCAUGCACAUUUCUAGGUUAUAGCAAAGAGUUCCAAAACUAGAAGACAUACAUGACAAAUGUUA
rnacentral:lncRNA from 1 species